rfam:Enterobacter cancerogenus ATCC 35316 E_cancerogenus-1.0.1_Cont2.4, whole genome shotgun sequence.
ACGCCGACACGAGAAACGAACAUCAGGAUGAUGGCGUAUCUCAGCAAGGACUCGUCAGGAAGGCGCUGCAGGAAGGCUUCAGGAUGAAGCAAAGUGGAUAACGCAGGAUGCGUAAGGGACACCUCCAGGAAGGAGAACGAGAGCCGGUCAGGAUGGUCGGUGGGUCAGGAAGGCCAGGACGUUUCAGGACGAAACACACACAUCAGGAUGAUGUGAGCAGGAUGCAACGGUUAACGGAUAACCAACGCCCUUCGGGCAUCAGGAAAAGUUGUCACGGAUGAGCAGGGAGCACGAAUUGUAGCUGGAAUGCUGCGGAACGAACCGGGAGCACUGUUUAUACAGUGCUCCCUUUUUUUAUU